GGAGAGGUGUCCGAGCGGUUUAAGGACCCCGUCUUGAAAACGGGUAGGCGAUGAGCCUCGCGGGUUCGAAUCCCGCCCUCUCCG
rnacentral:tRNA from 1 species